AAAAAAGGGCAGACUUCCAAUGGGGUGAACAAAAUCGGAGAAGUAAAAAUACUUUGGUCUGUGGAAAAGCUUGGAUAUGGAAAGUCAUAAAGAAGUCCAUGAAGGAAAGAAGCAUUUUCACAAAAGAAGCCAACUGAGCACACUGCCCCAUUCGUCUUUUUGCUGACAACACCAGCCUGCAACCAGUCAAUCUUCUCUACACAGCUUAAGAAAAUGCCUAAGUAGCCACCUGGAGGCCACAAUGGAAUUUAUACAUUCGAC